GACGAACGCUGGCGGCGUGCUUAACACAUGCAAGUCGAACGGAAAGGCCCUGCUUUUGUGGGGUGCUCGAGUGGCGAACGGGUGAGUAACACGUGAGUAACCUGCCCUUGACUUUGGGAUGACUUCAGGAAACUGGGGCUAAUACCGGAUAGGAGCUCCUGCUGCAUGGUGGGGGUUGGAAAGUUUCGGCGGUUGGGGAUGGACUCGCGGCUUAUCAGCUUGUUGGUGGGGUAGUGGCUUACCAAGGCUUUGACGGGUAGCCGGCCUGAGAGGGUGACCGGCCACCUUGCGCCUGCGAUACGGCCCAGACUCCUACGGGACGCAGCAGUGGGGAGCAUUGCACAGUGGGCGGACGCCUGAUGCAGCAACCCCGCGUGCGGGAUGCCGGCCUUCGGGUUGUAAACCGCUUUCGCCUGUGCCGAAGCGUGAGUGACGGUACUGGGUAAAGAAGCCCCGGCUAACUACGUG
rnacentral:rRNA from 1 species